rnacentral:rRNA from 1 species
AUUGAACGCUGGCGGCAGGCCUAACACAUGUAAGUCGAGCGGCAGCGACUUAACUGAACCUUCGGGGAACGUUAAGGGCGGCGAGCGGCGGACGGGUGAGUAAUGCCUGGGAAUAUACCCUGAUGUGGGGGAUAACUAUUGGAAACGAUAGCUAAUACCGCAUAAUCUCUUCGGAGCAAAGAGGGGGACCUUCGGGCCUCUCGCGUCAGGAUUAGCCCAGGUGGGAUUAGCUUGUUGGUGAGGUAAUGGCUCACCAAGGCAACGAUCCCUAGCUGGUCUGAGAGGAUGAUCAGCCACACUGGAACUGAGACACGGUCCAGACUCCUACGGGAGGCAGCAGUGGGGAAUAUUGCACAAUGGGGGAAACCCUGAUGCAGCCAUGCCGCGUGUGUGAAGAAGGCCUUCGGGUUGUAAAGCACUUUCAGUAGGGAGGAAGGUAGUGUAGUUAACACCUGCAUUAUUUGACGUUACCUACAGAAGAAGCACCGGCUAACUCCGUGCCAGCAGCCGCGGUAAUACGGAGGGUGCGAGCGUUAAUCGGAAUUACUGGGCGUAAAGCGCAUGCAGGCGGCCUGUUAAGUCAGAUGUGAAAGCCCGGGGCUUAACCUCGGAAUUGCAUUUGAAACUGGCAGGCUAGAGUCUUGUAGAGGGGGGUAGAAUUUCAGGUGUAGCGGUGAAAUGCGUAGAGAUCUGAAGGAAUACCAGUGGCGAAGGCGGCCCCCUGGACAAAGACUGACGCUCAGAUGCGAAAGCGUGGGGAGCAAACAGG